AUGCUGAGCUCUGGAUAUGGAAACAACAGAUGGCAGAGGAAGAUGAAGCAGUGGUAGGGGCCCCAAGGAAGCUUCCCCAUUGUCAUCAUGCAAGAUUUAGUCAACUUGAUCUGGUCACCAAAAUAGAUCUGCUUCUAAAAUAAGAUGCUCUUCCCAGUCACCUCACCUUGUUCAUCUCCAGUGUUGAAGGCCAGUUAAAAUAUUCUUGGGCCACUAAAUAUCUACAGUAUUUUUUUUUUUUCUCCUCACACAUAUGUUUACAUAAAAUGCAAAUACAUCUUUGUAAUUUUUUAAUAUGCAAAUAUAUUCAUCAAAACACCAUUCUGCUGCA